CCUUAAGGACGGAUAGCCGCUACGUUCAGUUACAUGAAUGUAGAGGAAAGUCCAGACAGCAGGAAGCAGGGUGAUCGGCGUAAGCCGGUAUCCGGCAAUUGCCGGACUAGUUUAGAGCAACAGUGACGAACCGAGGUAAAGCUCGGGUGAAACGGGCAAUCCUCCCCGCUGCAACCUCCGAUAGGCGUGAGAUGCUUCCCUCGAUACGCCAAAGCUUGAGGGCAUUAGAGAGAUGGCUAUUUAAAACAGAAUCUGGCUUAUUGUCCUUAAGGGUGU
rnacentral:RNase_P_RNA from 2 species